CUGUUUCUUCCUGAGAAUGUUGCAAAUCUGCAUAUGUAUAUAUAUACAUGCAAAGAAAUCAUGGUUAUGCCCCCGUGAGUUGAUGGAUCUCUAGUUCUGCCAGGUUUAUCUGCUGACGAGCUUCCAGCCCACGCUCCGGACUAUUGUUGCAAAACAAAUCAGGCAAAUAUAUCAAGAUUGAGAAAGCACAACUGGACCUGCUUUCGCCGGGGGACGCAGAGACGCGUUUGAAUGGCUUC